rnacentral:rRNA from 1 species
AAGUCGAACGGAGGCCCUAGCUUGCUAGGUGUCCUUAGUGGCGCACGGGUGAGUAACACGUGGGAACAUACCUUAUAGUACGGAAUAACUGCGGGAAACUGUAGCUAAUACCGUAUAUUCCAGUAAUGGGAAAGAUUUAUCGCUAUAAGAUUGGCCCGCGCAAGAUUAGCUUGUUGGUGAGGUAAAAGCUCACCAAGGCUUCGAUCUUUAGCUGGUUUGAGAGGACGAUCAGCCACACUGGGACUGAGACACGGCCCAGACUCCUACGGGAGGCAGCAGUAGGGAAUAUUGGACAAUGGGGGCAACCCUGAUCCAGCAAUGCAGCGUGAGUGACGAAGGCCUUAGGGUUGUAAAACUCUUUCAUCGGUGAGGAUAAUGACAGUAGCCGAAGAAGAAGGACCGGCUAAUUCCGUGCCAGCAGCCGCGGUAAUACGGAAGGUCCUAGCGUUGUUCGGAAUUACUGGGCGUAAAGCGCAUGUAGGCGGAACAGAAAGUUAGAAGUGAAAUCCCUGGGCUCAACCUAGGAAUUGCUUUUAAAACUUCUGUUCUGGAAUUCAGGAGAGGAAAAUGGAAUUUCCAGUGUAGAGGUGAAAUUCGUAGAUAUUGGAAGGAACACCAGUGGCGAAAGCGAUUUUCUGGACUGAUAUUGACGCUGAGAUGCGAAGGCAUGGGUAGCAAACGGGAUUAGAUACCCCGGUAGUCCAUGCAGUAAACGAUGGGUGCUAGUC